rnacentral:misc_RNA from 1 species
UUCAUUGUCAAUCUGGCUUUGAGUGAUAUCAUAAUGGCCAUUUUCUGCAUUCCCUUUACGUUCGUGGCUAACCUGAUGUUGAACUAUUGGCCGUUUGGUGAGCUCCUGUGUCCGGCGGUUUGUUACCUCCAGAUUGUGUCCGUGUUUCUGAGUGCUUACACUCUAAUGGCGAUGAGCGUUGACCGCUAUAUCGUCAUUGUGCACCCAUUUAGGAAGAGGAUUACAACGGAGUACGCCCUUUUCAUCAUUUUGAUAAUUUGGAUUUUAUCGCUGUCCAUUCCAAUUCCUACCCUGUUCAAUGCCCGGAUUCAGUAUUACUCUAACACGAGCGGCCAGUGCCUUGAGACAUGGGAGGGUAAUGAUAGGGGGCGCUACGCCUACAGCGUCAUCAUCAUGGUCCUCCAUUAUUUUGCUCCGAUGCUGGUCAUGAUGUUUUGUUACACGACCAUCAGAUAUCACAUCUGGCUGAAACACAACCAAAAGGACGACCAUAAUUCUCGCAGACUUCAGCUUGCUUCCGCUAAACAAAAAAUGAUCCGUAUGAUGGUGACCGUUGUGAUAUUCUACGCCCUGUGUUGGUUACCUUUCCACGUGACUACGCUGGUUGGGGACCAGAAUCCCGAGAUUUACAACCAGAGCUUUAUGCCAGUCCUCUGGCUUCUCUUCCAUUGGCUUGCCAUGAGCAACAGCUGCUACAACCCCAUCAUCUACAUCUGGAUGAGCCCUAAAUUCAGAGCUGGACUCCACUUGGCUUUUUACAAGUGUUGUCGGCGAACACAUUCCAAGUGUGAAUCAGACGAGCAGAUUGACGACAUAGGAAUUAACAAUGGAGUGGUUCUGCGAAUUGAAAUGCAAUCCAUGCAAAAUAAAAAAUCAAAAGAAUGCCGGUAUUUAUCCCACAAGGAGCAAUUACUGUCGGAUAAGUACGACUUACCUGGUAAUAUACACAGUGACACCUGAAAAAUCGCGUAAUUACUGUCCCUAUUCAACUGACAAGUUAUACCUUAAUAAUAUCUGGAGGAAAUGGAUCUAAAUAUAAAUCUGAGGUGGAUUGAUGCAGAAUAACAAGAUGUGAGAACUAUUUCCCUCUUGUACACGGUUACAUUGAUGGACAGAGCCGUUUGUGUUCAGCCAUGUUAGUUAGACAUUGGUCAGAAUGAGAAUCAAACUGCGGUUAGAAAGUGUCCGGAUAGAUUGGUUCGUGUAAACAUAUGGAUAUACAAAGAAAAUCAAAAUAAAUGUAAAAAU